ACACCAAAAAACUUUCCCCUAUUCACCACUCUGUACAACUCUUCAAAACUCUAGGAUAUGCUGCAUAAUAAAAAUAUUAAUUUCAAUGGAAAAUCAAGAUGUCACUGAAUUUUGUAUGAACCCACAAGAACAAUACACCAAAAAGAGGAAGUAUAUAAGGAAACACUUGCUGUGUAUCCACUCACUUCAAUUCAGCCAUUUGAAGAAAUUAUGAAAAUUCUGAUAAGUUUUAAUACUUUCAUUUGCUCUGGCAUAGUAUAAAUAUGCACUGAUCUAUCAUCACAGAUACCACUGCUUUCACACUACAAGGGUAGAGUUGAAUAGUUGCCAUGGAGACUGUAUGACCUGCAAGGCUUGAAAUAUUUACUGUCUUGCCCUUUACAGAAAAAGUUUGCAGAUCCCUGUUCAAAGCCAUAAUACAGUUGGGGCUGGGCAUGUAGCCACCCAGCUACAGAUGACAUUUGUGGGCCCGUUCUCAUUAUGUGUGACUGCAACACUAGGUUUUCACUUUCAGACUACGAAUGGUACUGUGUAUUUCAAGAGUGAAAGAGAAAAAAAUGAUGGAUGCUAAUACACUAGAGAGAAAAAAUGGAAAGAGCUUGUGGAAAAGGUACAAGCAGGCCGAGAAGGGUACAAGCCAGCUGCCUGAGCCGGGAGAAGUCACUCAACCUCUUUUCUACCUGCAUCUCAUUAGUAAAAUUAGGAGGCAGGAUGAAAUAAUUUAUAAGGUUGCUAUUAGCUUUAAAAAUUUUAUGAGUUCAGAGCCUUUAAAACAUGGUGUCUUCAGCAAAAACCACCACUGCAAUUUUUUUUUCAAUAUUCCUUUUUACCUAUAAUGGAAACAAGUUAAAAAUAAUAAGCCUAAUGUUCACAAAUCCAUUAAAUAUUUACUGGUUACUCUCCUGAUGACCAUUUUGAUUCAAUACAUGCUAUUAUAAAUCAUCAAUAUUUUCAAAAUUCAAAAAUGUACACAAAGGAAUUUUUUAGCUCCUGUGAUGGCUUUGAACUAAAGUAUGGUAUCUCUUCCUGUUUGUCUAAGUGUUUUCAUGCUUAUUCAUCAGUAAGCCUAAAAGUCUAGUACAGUAAUAUAUAUAUAUACAUGCUAAGUGCUUAGUUUGUCAGUACAGUUUUCCUCUUGAAUUGCAAAUUGAGUAGCUUUUCUAGGGUCCCCCAUUUAUUUUAAAAAUGUUAGUGUCCAGGCAACCAUCAGAAGGAACUUCUUCAAACCCUGUGGCAUGCUAAUACUGAAACUAAAAUGAGUCUUAUUUCCCUUGUGGGAAAUGUUAAGGAUAAAGAGGAAAUAAGUAUAGAUAAGGUAUUUGUUUUUAUAGAAAUAAUGUGAUCAUAUUCUUUUAUAAUUUUGUAA